AGGCUGCAACUCGCCUGUAUGAAGUCGGAAUUGCUAGUAAUCGUGGAUCAGCAUGCCACGGUGAAUACGUUCCCGGGCCUUGUACACACCGCCCGUCACACCAUGAGAGCCGGGAACACCCGAAGUCCGUAGUCUAACCUAUAUGGAGGACGCGGCCGAAGGUGGGUUUGGUAAUUGGGGUGAAGUCGUAACAAGGUAGC
rnacentral:rRNA from 1 species